AUAUUAAAAAAGAGAAAAAGAACCCUUACCUACUGUGGAAUGGAGGACAAACGGUUUAGAAUAUGGAGGUUUAAACUCGACAAUUCCGAAGUGUUGAACAAUUCAAUGGGUUUUGGCAAAUGUAUGCAGUCAUGUAACCACACCACACUGAAGAAGCAGAGCAUUGCCAUGAUCCCAAGUUUUCCGUCUUCCCCUUUACAGUCAUUAUACUUGCCCCACCCCUGAUCCCAGGCAACCAUUGAUUUACUUUGUCUCACUAUAGUUUUGUCUUUUCUGGAAUGUCUCACAAAUAGAAUCAUUCAGUUUGCAGUUUUUGCAUCUGUCUUCUCUUACCAAGUAUAAUAUUUUUGGAUUCACCUAUGUUGAUGCAUGUAUCAGUAGAUCAUUCCUUCUUAUUGUUGAAUAGUAUUCCAUUGUAUGGAUAUACCAGAGUUUGUUUAUUCAUUCACCAGUUGGUGGACAUUUAGAUUGUUUCUAGUUUUUGGAGAUUAUGAAUAAAGACAUUUUAACAGGUGUGUAGUAGUAUAUCACUGUGGUUUUAAUUUGCAUUUCCGUAAUGUCUAAUGAUAUUAAGCAUCUUAUCAUGUGCUAUCUGCCAUCUGUAUACCUUUAUUAGUGAAGUGUGAAUUCAAAUCUUUUGCCCAUUUUUUAUAGGGUGAUUUUCUUAUUGAGUUUUGAGAGUUCUUUAUGUAUUCUAUAUACAUGUCCUUAAUCAGAUAUGUUUUUACAGAUAUUUCUGUGUAUAUUUUAUGUAUUGUCUUUUCAUUUUCUUAAGAGUGUCUUUCAAAGAGCAGAAGAUUUAAUUUUUGAUUAAGUCCCAUUUUUUUCUUUUAUGGAUUGUACUUUGGUGUUGUGGCUAAGAAACCUUUCCUUAACCAAGGUCACAAAGCUUUUUCACCUAGGUUUUCUUCUAGAAGUUUUACAGUUUUAGAUGUCACAUUUAGGAGUUUGUGAUCCAUUUUGAGUCAAUUUUUAUAUAUUGUGUGAUAUAUGAAUUAAGUUGGGGUUUUCUUGCAUGUGGAUAUUCAAUUAUUUUGUCCCAUUUGUUGAAAAACUAUCCGGUCUUCAUUGAAUUACCUUUCCACUUUUGUGAAAAUUCAGUUGACUAUAUAUAUGUGGGUCUAUUUCUGUAUUUUCUGACACAUUGAUCUGUGUGUCUAUCCUUUUGCCAAUACUGACACAGUAUUAAUUACUGUAGCUUUAUGCAAGUCUUAAAAGCAGGUAGUGUGAGUCUUCCAACUUUUUUUUUUUUUUCAAAAUUGUUUUGGCAGUUCUAUUUUGUUUGCUUUUUCCACAUAAAUUUUAGAAUCUGUUUGUUGAAUUCUACAGAAAGGACUGCUGGGAUUUUGGUUGGGAUCACAUCGAACGUGUAGAUCAACUUAGAGAAGAAAUGAUAAUAUUGAGUUUUCCAAUCCAUGAUAAUGGUGCUCUCGAUCCUGGGCCAGAUUAGAUGCAGCGAGAGACAUGUAUAAAGCCAACACACUGUGUUACUACAAGCAGGUGUGCUUGUCUCCCACCAGUCUGCCUCCAGCUUUCCUUCCCCACAGCCUGUCUUGCCAGUCUGCAGGCAGGUGGCUUCGGGGCCAGCAGCAGAGGAGUUGGCCUUCCGGAGAGCCCUCGAUAGACUCCCAUUCAUGUUCACAGCCGUUGUGUAUGUGUCAUCUCUAGUACUGAAUGAUAAAGUUCUUCAAGGACCACACGAAACUUCUCUUUAUUCUUCAACAGCUGCUGCCACAGUAUGUAGUAGGCACUCAAUAAAUGUUUGUGACUUUUAAUAGAGUAGCUAAAUUCCUCAAAAAUAUGUAAAAUAGUCCUACAUCAAAAUACAAACUUGCGUUUGGGGACACUAGGUGUAUGUUAUAAGAUGUGGAAGAGAUGUUGCCGCUAAAUUGGGAUGUAUAGAAAGAUGAACAGUUUUAAACAGGAAUUGAACUACUGUUCAAAGGAUUGGAAUGUUCUUGUUACAAGCUGAGGCUCAGUGGCAGAGUCCUGCCUUCCCUUGAACACUGUAGGCUCAUGGUAGAGAUUUUUGUUACAUGCUACUGAAAAGGUACUAUCCUGUUACAGAUAGUGUAUUCAUCAGUUUUCUUAGUCUCUAGAAACAUACUCUGAUUUCUUCAGAAAAAGAUUUUUUUUAAAGGAUAGUAGAUUGCUCUCAGAAUCUCUGGGAAGAUCAGAGAAUGAGGCUUUUGGGGAGUGAAACCAGCUCUCUGGGAAAAAACAUGUUUUCUUAAUUUCUCUGUUAUUUACAAGUAAUGGUUAUAAACAUGACACACUUUUGAUUUGUAUUAACAUUUUUCCAUCACUUAAAUUCUAGACAAUCAAAUUCUAGACAACAAAAUAACAAAUCAAGCCUUGAUUUCUGGUGCGUGCCAGUUUCAAUAGUGUAAAUACUCCCAAGAUGGCUGAUGUCCAAGCUCCCAGUGUGAUGUCAGUGAACAUGGAAUCGGGAAGAAAUGUAUGAUACAGAUGCAAUAGAUGUAAAUAAGCUUAAAGUCCAUAGAUAACAGUAAAAUAUAGUAAAAUAAUUAGAAAAGGAUGAGUUUUGAGUUUAUUAUCUUUUUUAUAUAUAAUUUAUUUAAUUGUAAGUUUAUAUAAUUUAAUAUUACAUUUAAUGACUGGCUCACAAAAUUCCUGAAAAUUUAGCAAUCACCUUUUACAAGUGGGGAAAGCUGGCUUCAGCACACCACUGCAUGGUGGCCACCCAGCCAGGAAACACCACCCCAAAUCGCCCACAGCACUGCUCCAUGGAGGACAGCACUGCACACAGGAUAGCUGCGUGCAGAUCCUGUCACUGACUGGCCACAGGAGGGUCCUGCUGGAACUAGUGCCCUUUGUUGAUUCAGGAAACAGCCACAGUUGGCAUCUGUCACCAGAGCACCACGACCCUUGUGUCUUUUGUGUUGCUGGUUCCCAAGACUUUGAACUGGUAGAUGCAUUUGACUGAUAGCUCUCACUUAGGUGCACAGAAUCUGAAAAAAAAGAAGUGUUUCACAUUUUCAGCUUAAAAGGUGGUCAUAAAGUGAAGGGUUCUACAAAUACAGAGAAAGAGUUCAGAUAUUGAGUAGCAAAAAAGAGUAACAAGCAUCUGCCCAGUUGUGUAUUUCACCCCUUUGGUUGUGGGGGAAUUGGUUGCUGGUUAAGAACAUUUGCUGCAUCCCAUAAGAGAACACACCAAUCUGUCAAGAACACGUAUCAUUAUUCCACCAUUCCAUAAGGCCAGCUACUUCUGAGUGAGGCAUAAGUGAAUCCCAUGGAUAUCAGUUCACUGUCUACUUCUCCAAAUUUUUGAUUGAAUUAAAUUUUUGAUAAUAUGCUGUCUUUUUCAAAUGUCUAUCAGCUUCACUGACUGUACAGGUGACUUAAAUGGUGAUGUGAAAAGAAUCAUAUCCCUGCAUCUGUUAGGUUUGUUAUGACGGCCUUUAUCUCUGUGACCCCUCAGGUAUGGGGAAUUGCUCUUUGGUGACUUGUUGGUGUAGAGGGACAAACAGGGAAUGCUCCAAGGGAUCUGAAUGUGGCCCUUCCUGCUUGCUAUGAAAAGGAGUCACUCUUUCCGUCUUUCAGUUCAUCUAUUCCUUUAUGCACUUAGCAACAGAUGUAUGAAAUCAGGGUCCUACUGGGCUUAUGUGAGACAAACACAGAUCAAAACUUUAUUUCUCAUUUUAAUUUAUUCAAUAACUGCAUUGUAGGUGUCGAUUCUAUGCAAGACAUUGUUCUAGCUGCAUGGGACACAGCAAGAAACAAAACAGGAAAAAAUCCUUGCCUUCAUGGAGCUUAUGUUCUAAAAGGAAGUAACAGACAAUAAACUAACUAAAUAAUAUAGUACCUUAGAAGGCAACAAAUUCUAUGGAGCAAAAUAUAAGUCAAGGAAGGGGGAUAGGGAGUUCUAGAUGGGGAGGUGUUUGCACUCUUGAAUAGAGUGGCCAGGGAAGGCUGUAUUCCAGCUAAGAUUAAAGGAAGUAAGGGAACAAUCUCUUUCUAUCCUGUAAACCACAAUUUCAUUCAGGAAUUAGAGUUAGUUCUGAGCCAGUUUCCAAUAAUCCCCCAAACAUCUAGGUAUUUGCCUUUACAGUGUACUCUUCCCCUGAUCAAUGACCCGCAGGUACUUUUGGGAAAGUCCAGGAUGAAGAUUCACAGUACAUACGUGUGUCGUUGUGGCACGUUUUUCCUCCAUGGGUCCUCACUCCCCCUUCAGUGCAGACGCUCUGGGUCACUGAACCAACUCAGGUUCAGGAAUCAGGUGAGUGGCUCUGAAAUCCCACCGCCAAGGCUCAGAGCAUGUCUCUUACAACAGACUCGGAAGAGGUUUGUUAUUUAGAUCAAAUAGGCCCUUCGUGGGCCAACUACCUAUUUUGGUUCUAGGGACUGGAUACUGAAAUAGCCACUAGCAAAAAUCCUUGUAGGGUUCACUCUAUUUACCACUCCCAUUCUGCUGCCACACACACCUUGCCCUGGUGAUACUACCCUGGGACCUUGGGACUCCCAUUGUGAGUUCAUCGGGGAAUGAAAUCAGGAGCCCAUUUCAACCAACACAUGCCCAGGCUACAUCAAACAGCCAGUACAAUGUUCAUUCACUUGUUCUUCGAUGUUGGUAUCCCCCUCACCAAGGUGUAUCUCUGGACCCGCUAAGGGGACACAGUUAGGUGUUAUGAGAGCAGCCUCUGCAUGAUUAAUCCACUCCAACAUUUUUCUCUCUCUGCUAUUUGUAUUUUUCCUUGACAUUAUAUCAAGGAAUUUCUGGUGGCUCAACUUUACUUAGCCAGGUUUCAGUCAACCAACUGGGAAAACCAUUAGACCCAUUCCCAGCUGCUGGUGUCAAUACACCCAAUAAAUUCAGUCUGACCUAAAAUUCUGUCCCUUAGUCUUAGCCUAACACCCUCAGAAUCCAUUUCCAAAGUUUACCAAUAUAAAUUAGCAUAAUCCUACAAUUCUUUUGAUGUAUAGUUGGUAUUUCUUUUAUUGGAUUUUGUUAUUAUAGCCUAUCUCCUCCA